rnacentral:rRNA from 1 species
UACGGAGGGGGCUAGCGUUGUUCGGAAUUACUGGGCGUAAAGCGCGCGUAGGCGGAUUGGAAAGUUGGGGGUGAAAUCCCGGGGCUCAACCUCGGAACUGCCUUCAAAACUCCCAGUCUUGAGUUCGAGAGAGGUGAGUGGAAUUCCGAGUGUAGAGGUGAAAUUCGUAGAUAUUCGGAGGAACACCAGUGGCGAAGGCGGCUCACUGGCUCGAUACUGACGCUGAGGUGCGAAAGCGUGGGGG